rnacentral:lncRNA from 1 species
AAAUCAGGCUCAAUGAAAAGAGAUUAAACCAAAUGUGUUCAGUUUUGUAAUGGCUCCAGCAAAUGCGGAGGAAUGGAAGGGUGGAAAUAAGAGAAUAGAGUGGGGUUUUUAGAUUUCCCAUAAAUUUUGUUUUUACAAAUUCUCAUUGUUUUGCACACACACAUGCACAGCUAUAACUUUCCAUCCAUCCAUCCAUCCAUGCAUCCAUUCAUCCAUCCAUCUGUCAUUCAUCCAUUCACACAUCCAUCCAUCCAUCCACCCACUCAUCUAUUCACCCAUCCAUUCACCCAUCCAUCUACCUGUCCAUCCAUCCACCCAUCCACCUAUUCAUCCACACAUUCAUCCACCCAUCCAUCCACCCAUCAUCCAUCAUCCAUCCAUCCACAUAUUCCAUCCAUCCAUCCAUCCACCCAUCUCUUCAUCCAUCCAUUCACCCAUACAUCUACCCAUCCAUCCAUCUACCCAUCCAUCCUUCCAUCCGUCUGUUCUCCAUCCAUCUAUCUAUCCAUCUUUUAUUCCUUCUCUCUCUCUGUAUUUGUGUAUUUUGAGGCCAAAAUUGAGUUUAAUGCUCCUUUUCUUCUGCCUACCAGGGAAAGCAGAGAUAGUUUACAAUGCUGCCAUGCAAACACUUUUCCUCUCGGAUGAGCCAUCCUGUUCAUAAAUGUCUUUUCGCUUUCUGCAGUUCUCCUCUGAUUCUGAAAAUCCCCCCUGAUCUCCCCAGCUUCUGCUCCAAAAGGCACAUAUCCAGCCCCUCAUGGAACCCAGAACAGCACCAAGAUUUCUAUUGAAGGAGAUUCUCUUUUCUUCAAAGAUGAGCAUGAAGCGUCAUGAAAAUGUAAAAUUAUACCAAAUGUGAUCAUCCAAAAGCUGACUGAAUGCCCUGUUACUCAGCUCCUGUGAGCUGCUUGGCACCUUGC